ACCGGGAUGGACGCACCGCUGGUGUACCAGUUGUCUUGCCAAAGGCAUCGCUGGGUAGCCGCUGGUGUACCAGUUGUCUUGCCAAAGGCAUCGCUGGGUAGCUAUGUGCGGAAGGGAUAAGUGCUGAAAGCAUCUAAGCAUGAAGCCCCCCUCGAGAUGAGAUUUCCCAUCACUUUAUGUGAGUAAGAUCCCUGAAAGAUGAUCAGGUAGAUAGGUCUGAGGUGGAAGCGUGGCGACACGUGCAGCUGACAGAUACUAAUCGAUCGAGGACUUAACCACAGU
rnacentral:rRNA from 1 species